rnacentral:rRNA from 1 species
AACGAACGCUGGCGGCGUGCCUAAUACAUGCAAGUCGAGCGGACAGAAGGGAGCUUGCUCCCGGAAGUUAGCGGCGGACGGGUGAGUAACACGUGGGCAACCUACCCUGUAGAUCGGGAUAACAUCGAGAAAUCGGUGCUAAUACCGGAUAAUCAUUUGAAGUGCAUGCUUCGAAUGUAAAAGAUGGCUCAGGCUAUUACUACGGGCUGGGCCUGGGGCGCAUUAGCUAGUUGGUAAGGUAAUGGCUUACCAAGGCAACGAUGGGUUGCCGACCUGGGAGGGUGAUCGGCCACACUGGGACUGAGACACGGCCCAGACUCCUACGGGAGGCAGCAGUAGGGAAUCUUCCGCAAUGGACGAAAGUCUGACGGAGCAACGCCGCGUGAGUGAUGAAGGUUUUCGGAUCGUAAAGCUCUGUUGUUAGGGAAGAACAAGUGCCGUUUGAAUAAGGCGGCACCUUGACGGUACCUAACCAGAAAGCCACGGCUAACUACGUGCCAGCCGCCGCAGUAAUAC